rnacentral:rRNA from 1 species
AGUGAACGCUGGCGGUAGGCCUAACACAUGCAAGUCGAACGGCAGCACAGUAAGCGCUUGCCCCUACUGUUGGCGAGUGGCGGACGGGUGAGGAAUACAUCGGCAUCUACUUUUUCGUGGGGGAUAACGUGGGGAAACUUACGCUACUACCGCAUACGACCUACGGGUGAAAGCAGGGGUUCUUGGCACUUUGCCCGUUUCAAUGAGCCGAAGCCGGAUUAGCUAGUUGGCGAGGUAAGGGCCCACCAAGGCAACGAUCCGUAGCAGGUCUGAGAGGAUGAUCAGCCACACUGGAACUGAGACACGGUCCAGACUCCUACGGGAGGCAGCAGUGGGGAAUAUUGGACAAUGGGCGCAAGCCUGAUCCAGCCAUACCGCGUGAGUGAAGAAGGCCUUCGGGUUGUAAAGCCCUGUUGUUGGGGAAGAACAGCAGCAGGUGAAUACCCCGCUGUUCUGACGGUACCCAAAGAAUAAGCACCGGCUAACUUCGUG